UCUUCUUUCCUUUUCUUCUUCUAGCGAACCCGAGAGAUGAAAUUGAGAUUUGAUUUCGGGAUAAUCAAUUGAUUAAACUUUGUAGAUAAAGAAGGAGUUGGUGUUUUUGUGUUUAUGAAGAAGAAGAUUGUGAUGCUGUUAAAUUGAAGAUAGGGUUCUGAAGUUGAGGUUUCUGUAAAUGAAUUCAAGAAUUCGAUUGAGGAUAAAGAAGAAGAAGUUAGAAGACGGGUCUGUUCUUAAAUUGAUGUUUGAUUGAAGCUGCAGGGUUAUUUGAGGAUUAUUUAGGGUUUCUGAGAAUAGUGAAAGUGAUGGGAAUUAUGGUUUCUAUGAGAUUCGAUGAAGGCGAGGAUGGUUGCGAGUCUGAGAUCGAGAGAAGAAGAGCAGGGUUAGUUUUAGUUUAUGGUGGUGUUGAUUUCAGGUGACUGAUGCAGAACCUACAGAAAAGGUAAUUUGAGAAAUUAAAAUUAGGAUUCUUUAUUUUGGAUCUGUUAUACAUAAAUUGGAUAAGAGCCAAUGAAUCUAGUAGGUUUGGUUAGAUUUAUGUUGAAGUUAGUUAUAUGGGUUUUAAUUGUUAAUUUAGAAAUUUAGAAACUAUAGAUGAAUAUAAGAUUGUUCUUGGGGAUUUUGAGUAUAUAAAGAUAUAAAAGAUGAUUCUGGUGUUAUAGGUAGAGAUGAAGAUAUGGGUUGUAGUUUGAAGAUUGAAGUGAGAGUUGAUUGAGACAGGGUGAUGUUUACUGUCAAAGCAAGAAGGAGGAGGAAAUGUUGAAGUUGCAGUGGUGCUGUAAAAGUAGAGAAUUGGCCCGGAAUGUGUUUGUAUGAAAUUACAGAAUUGGAGUUGGAGGUGUAUGAGCUGUAUAGGUUAGUUCUGGCAGUGAGGUUUGAUGGAAGUGAUAGUGUUGAACUGAGUUCAGUUGAAGUAGUCUUUAGUUUGGCCGCAACUGAUGGAUAUUAUAAGUAGCAGAGGUAAUUGUUCUUCUUAGUUCAGUUGGUAAUACUUGUAUGUUUUUAAAUUUGAGUUCAUGGAUUAUGAGAUGUUGAGUUACAGAGAUUUUGCAUAGAAUUAUAGUGAACUGAACAAGAAGUUGGUGUUAGUGAAAUGAUAUGUUGGAUGCUUCUGUGAUAAACAAGGUGGCUGAGUUAUAAUAAUGAUUAUGGUUAUUUGUGUCUGAAAUUUGGUGGAAAUGGAAUUGAGUAUCUGGUGGUGCUGUAAUGAGUUUAAGUUAAAGCUAAUUGAACUGAAUUGAUGAGUAUAGAUGUUUGUUAGGACAAAUUGUUAUUGCAGAGAAGAAUUGAGUUAAUGGUAGUGGUUGAGUUGCAAGUAGUGGGGGUGCUGACUUUAGUGGUUUGGUGUUAAAUAUUAUAGUGUUGUGUUGCAGAAUUUCAGGCGAAAGAGUAGUGGUAGUGAUAACUAGGAAUAAGAUGUUGUCGAUAUGAUGUUGGUGGUGGUGGUCUGGCAAGGUACUGAGUUAGAGAUGGUGAUGUUGUCUAUAAAGAUAGAAUGAAAGGGUGUGUGGCUUUGGUGGUAGAGAUGAAUGUGCAGGCAAUGUAUGAGAUCAUGUUGGGAGUGCUUGGGUUGAGGAUUAAUGAAUGCAGAUGGUGUUAGUGGUUGAAUGCAUUUGUUGGGAGAUUAUAUGAAUGUUGAAUUGAGAUUGUAGAAAGAGUGUUACAGCUACUACAAAUGAGUUAGUCUAUAUUAACAACGAUCGAUUCAAAGGAUGAACCAGUGGAUCGUGGAUCUCGAAGUAGGCGUGCCUUGUCAUCAAAAGAGUUUUCAGAGACAGAUCAGAGUUGCUCAGCGAAAGCCUCAAGUGUUGACUUCGUUAAUUAGUUAACUUCUGCUAUAUUUUAUUAUGUUGUUUAUUGAAUCUGUAAACCAAUUGACUAUUAUAUAUGUAUCAUUUGAGAGAAAUUCAUGUAUAUAUGUUCUGAGCGGGGUUAGU